rnacentral:piRNA from 1 species
UUUGGUGGAUCAGGUUUCUGG